rnacentral:miRNA from 1 species
UAUCCAGGGUAGACACUCAGA